UGUAGCAAGGUUAACCGUAUAGGGGAGCCGGAGGGAAACCGAGUCUUAAUUGGGCGUUAAGUUGCAGGGUAUAGACCCGAAACCCGGUGAUCUAGCCAUGGGCAGGUUGAAGGUUGGGUAACACUAACUGGAGGACCGAACCGACUAAUGUUGAAAAAUUAGCGGAUGACCUGUGGCUGGGGGUGAAAGGCCAAUCAAACCGGGAGAUAGCUGGUUCUCCCCGAAAGCUAUUUAGGUAGCGCCUCGUGAAUUCAUCUCCGGGGGUAGAGCACUGUUUCGGCUAGGGGGCCAUCCCGGCUUACCAACCCGAUGCAAACUGCGAAUACCGGAGAAUGUUAUCACGGGAGACACACGGCGGGUGCUAACGUCCGUCGUGAAGAGGGAAACAACCCAGACCGCCAGCUAAGGUCCCAAAGUCAUGGUUAAGUGGGAAACGAUGUGGGAAGGCCCAGACAGCCAGGAUGUUGGCUUAGAAGCAGCCAUCAUUUAAAGAAAGCGUAAUAGCUCACUGGUCGAGUCGGCCUGCGCGGAAGAUGUAACGGGGCUAAACCAU
rnacentral:rRNA from 1 species